rnacentral:pre_miRNA from 1 species
AAAAAGACAAACCCUAGUUUUCCGUGUCCAACGUUUAACUAUCCGUCUUAUAUAAAUUUUUUUAUAAUUAGUAUUUUCAUUGUUGUUAGAUGAUAAAACAUAAUUAGUACUUUAUGCGUGACUUGUCUUUUUAAUUUUUUUUAUAAUUUUUUCAAAUAAGACGGACGGUCAAACGUUGGAAACGGAAACUAGAGUUUAUC